GGUUCUAUCGUACAGCGGUUUAGUACGUCAGGUUUUGAGAAGCCUACCGCAAUCCAGAAUCCUGACAACCUGGGUUCGAAUCCCAGUAGGACCU